ACUCUGAGAGCUGGCUCUGAGGGAGCGGGACCGGUGAGUGAGGGACUCUCCUUUUUGUGUCAGAGGAGAGGAUUGACUCUGAGGUAGCUGGCCCACAGCCAGUGCACUGUGAGGAGGGAGAAGGAAGAAGAAGUGGAUAAACAGGACUGUUGCCCCUGCUGCAGCCUGGGCCUGCUUCUUGUGCUGCAGCCUGGGCCUUGCCCACAGCUGAACACUGAUUGCUGGUGUCUGGGGGCUGUCUCAACCUCUGCUGCUGCCUGAGGCCUAAAACAAAGAGAAAAAAGAGAAAACAAAAUAGGACUGUCAGCCAUCCUGCUCACUCUGAGGGAGCUGGAUCAGUGUCAAAGACUCUCCAUAUGUAAAUGAAGGAUGACUUGGUGGCAGGAUAACCACCUGUGGGGAGUUAUUUCAGUGGUGGCUGCCAGUAUGAUGCUCAACUGAGGCCUAAGAUCAUCGCUGGAUCUCAGACCCAAAGUGUUGAAUGAUGGCAGGAGGCAGGUCAAGGAGUAGGGGAAUCACAGGAGAGUAGGGAUGAGGAGAGUUGUGAUCCUCCUUCUCACAUUCCAACUUCCAUUCAUCCUACACCCUCUUCUGACAUACAGGCCGCAGCCGUUGGCCACAAGGAGGUUAAUUUUAAAAAAGGCCCCUUCAUUAUGGAUUCCUUCCUCCCAGACCUCAAAAAGGAGUCAACUAACCAGGCUUUCCUGAAUGACCAAACAAAAGUGGUAAUUGCAUUUAAUGCCAAUCCCGAAUUGUGAAGAAAGUAGCUAAGAGCCAAUUGCAUUGCUGUGGGUCUGGAGACAUAUGUAGGCCAGACCAGAUUACAUGCUCCAAGACCCAGGGCUUAAAUCAAAGUCCCUUGUUUUAAGAGGUGAAUGACAUACUGGAAUGCUCCCUGGCUGCCAGUCAACAUGGAAUAUGCAGAAAAACCGAAAGAACUGUGGAUGCUGUAAAUCAGAAACAAGAACUGAAGUUGCUGGAAAAGCUCAGCAGAUCAGGCAGCAUCUGUGAAGAGAAAUCAAAGUUGACGUUUCAGAUCCUGUGACCCUUUGUUAACUUUAAUUGCUAUUCAUGGAAUAUGUACAUA